rnacentral:rRNA from 1 species
UACGGGGGGGGCAAGCGGUUGUUCGGAAUUACUGGGCGUAAAGGGCUCGUAGGCGGCCCACUAAGUCCGACGUGAAAUCCCCAGGCUUAACUUGGGAACUGCGUCGGAUACUGGUGGGCUUGAAUCCGGGAGAGGGAUGCGGAAUUCCAGGUGUAGCGGUGAAAUGCGUAGAUAUCUGGAGGAACACCGGUGGCGAAGGCGGCAUCCUGGACCGGCAUUGACGCUGAGUGAGCGAAAGCCAGGGGAGCAAACGGG